rfam:Myotis davidii contig119310, whole genome shotgun sequence.
GGCAGUUCUCAGGUGACGCACCCCCGGAAUCGGGCUUCCUCCUCUCUGAUUCUGGGUGUGUCACCCAAGAACCACA